rnacentral:rRNA from 1 species
AUGAACGCUGGCGGCGUGCCUAAUACAUGCAAGUCGAGCGAACAGACGAGGAGCUUGCUCCUCUGACGUUAGCGGCGGACGGGUGAGUAACACGUGGAUAACCUACCUAUAAGACUGGGAUAACUUCGGGAAACCGGAGCUAAUACCGGAUAAUAUAUUGAACCGCAUGGUUCAAUAGUGAAAGACGGUUUUGCUGCCACUUAUAGAUGGAUCCGCGCCGCAUUAGCUAGUUGGUAAGGUAACGGCUUACCAAGGCAACGAUGCGUAGCCGACCUGAGAGGGUGAUCGGCCACACUGGAACUGAGACACGGUCCAGACUCCUACGGGAGGCAGCAGUAGGGAAUCUUCCGCAAUGGGCGAAAGCCUGACGGAGCAACGCCGCGUGAGUGAUGAAGGUCUUCGGAUCGUAAAACUCUGUUAUUAGGGAAGAACAAAUGUGUAAGUAACUAUGCACGUCUUGACGGUACCUAAUCAGAAAGUCACGGCUAACUACGUG